CCUACAGGAGGCAGCAGUGAGGAAUAUUGGUCAAUGGGCGCGAGCCUGAACCAGCCAAGUAGCGUGAAGGAUGACUGCCCUACGGGUUGUAAACUUCUUUUAUAAAGGAAUAAAGUGAGGCACGUGUGCCUUUUUGUAUGUACCUUAUGAAUAAGGAUCGGCUAACUCCGUGCCAGCAGCCGCGGUAAUACGGAGGAUCCGAGCGUUAUCCGGAUUUAUUGGGUUUAAAGGGAGCGUAGAUGGUUUGUUAAGUCAGUUGUGAAAUGUUGCGGCUCAACCGUAAAAUUGCAAUUGAUACUGGCAGCCUUGAGUACAGUUGAGGUAGGCGGAAUGCAUGGUGUAGCGGUGAAAUGCUUAGAUAUCACGAAGAACUCCGAUUGCGAAGGCAGCCUACUAAGCUGCCACUGACAUUGAUGCUCGAAAGUGUGGGUAUCAAACAGGAUUAGAUACCCCAGUAGUC
rnacentral:rRNA from 1 species